rnacentral:rRNA from 1 species
AACGACCGCUGGCGGCGUGCAUAACACCUCAAAGUCGAACGUGAUUGGAAGCUUGCUUCUCUGAAAGUGCCGUACGGGUGAGUAACGCGUAGAUAAUCUGCGUGGUGAUCUGGGAUAACACUUCGAAAGGGGUGCUAAUACCGGAUAAGCCCAGGCUGUCUUUGGACUCUGCGGGAAAAGGAGGGGACCUCCGGGCCUUCCGUACUCAGAUGAGUCUGCGUACCAUUAGCUAGUUGGUAGGGUAAAGGCCUACCAAGGCGACGAUGGUUAGCUGGUCUGAGAGGAUGAUCAGCCGCACUGGAACUGAGACACGGUCCAGACCCCUACGGGAGGCAGCAGUGGGGAAUUUUGCGCCAAGGACGAAAGCCUGACGCAGCAACGCCGCGUGAGUAAUGUAGGCUCUUGGGUCGUAAAGCUCUGACAGAGGGAAAGAAGUGUGUGGAGGUUAAUACCCUUUGCACUUGACGGUACCCUCAAAGGAAGCACCGGCUAACUCCGUGCCAGCCGCCGCGGUAAGAC